rnacentral:rRNA from 1 species
UGGCGGCGUGCCUAAUACAUGCAAGUCGAACGGCUUUUCUAUGGAAGCUUGCUUCCACUGAGAAGAUAGUGGCGAACGGGUGAGUAACACGUGGGUAACCUGCCCAUAAGAGGGGGGAUAACAUCCGGAAACGGGUGCUAAUACCGCAUAGUUUUCUUGAUCGCAUGAUUGAGAAAGGAAAGACGGCCUUUGUGCUGUCGCUUAUGGAUGGACCCGCGGCGUAUUAGUUAGUUGGUGAGGUAACGGCUCACCAAGACGAUGAUACGUAGCCGACCUGAGAGGGUGAUCGGCCACAUUGGGACUGAGACACGGCCCAAACUCCUACGGGAGGCAGCAGUAGGGAAUCUUCCGCAAUGGACGAAAGUCUGACGGAGCAACGCCGCGUGAGUGAAGAAAAGGUUUUCGGAUCGUAAAACUCUGUUGUCAGAGAAGAACAAGUUGGAGAGUAACUGCUCCAGCCUUGACGGUAUCUGACCAGAAAGCCACGGCUAACUACGUGCCAGCCGCUGC